CCAGGCGCACCCAGAAACCCUUUGUGAACUUAUACCUUUACUGUUGCCUCGGCGCAUGCUGGCCCCCAUGGGGUCCCUCGGAGACGAGGAGCAGGCACGCCGGCGGCCAAGUUAACUCUUGUUUUUACGCUGAAACUCUGAGAAAAAACACAAAUGAAUCAAAACUUUCAACAACGGAUCUCUUGGUUCUGGCAUCGAUGAAGAACGCAGCGAAAUGCGAUAAGUAAUGUGAAUUGCAUAAUUCAGUGAAUCAUCGAAUCUUUGAACGCACAUUGCGCCCUCUGGUAUUCCGGAGGGAAUGCCUGUUCAAGGGUCAUUUCAACCCUCAAGCAUUGCUUGGAGUUGGGUUACAUGCGAAAAUAAAAGCAUACCACCCCGUCUUCACUUUUGCACCUUGCGACGGCCGUUCCCCCUCACUCAGCCCCCGCGUAUCUUACAGUUGGAUCUGAGGACGGAAACAUCCAGAAGCAAUCGUAAGGUGUCCGACCUUCCUUACAGUUCUCAAUCUCAAGUUAUCCCCUCCGGAUCUCUAUGUUUUCCUUGAACGGUUUCACCUAUUAUUGACCUUCUCUUCGAUUUC
rnacentral:rRNA from 1 species